rnacentral:rRNA from 1 species
GGCCUAACACAUGCAAGUCGAGGGGUAGAGGGAGCUUGCUUCCUUGAGACCGGCGCACGGGUGCGUAACGCGUAUGCAACCUACCUUCAUCUGGGGGAUAGCCCGGAGAAAUCCGGAUUAACACCGCAUAAAAUCACAGUCCCACCUGGGACAAUGAUCAAAUAUUUAUAGGAUGGAGAUGGGCAUGCGUGUCAUUAGCUAGUUGGCGGGGGUAACGGCCCACCAAGGCGACGAUGACUAGGGGAUCUGAGAGGAUGGCCCCCCACACUGGUACUGAGACACGGACCAGACUCCUACGGGAGGCAGCAGUAAGGAAUAUUGGUCAAUGGAGGCAACUCUGAACCAGCCAUGCCGCGUGCAGGAAGACUGCCCUAUGGGUUGUAAACUGCUUUUAUUCGGGAAUAAACCUUAUUACGUGUAAUAAGCUGAAUGUACCGAAGGAAUAAGGAU